rfam:Pteropus alecto contig102503, whole genome shotgun sequence.
AAGACCAUACUUUCAGGAAUCAUUUCUACAGUUUGUUACUAGACAAGUUUCUCUGAAUGUGCAGAACACCUGGGGAUGAGUAGAAUGGGAGGUG